CGCCAGACUCCUACGGGAGGCAGCAGUGAGGAAUAUUGGUCAAUGGCCGGAAGGCUGAACCAGCCAAGCCGCGUGAGGGAGGAAGGCGCAGAGCGUCGCAGACCUCUUUUGCCGGGGGGCAAAAGGCCGGACUCGUCCGGUCCUGAGGGUACCCGGAGAAAAAGCAUCGGCUAACUCCGUGCCAGCAGCCGCGGUAAUACGGAGGAUGCGAGCGUUAUCCGGAUUCAUUGGGUUUAAAGGGUGCGCAGGCGGGCCUUUAAGCCGGCGGUGAAAUCGCGGGGCUCAACCCCGUACUGCCGUUGAAACUGCAUCCCUUGAGUGCGCGAGAAGUAUGCGGAAUGCGUGGUGUAGCGGUGAAAUGCAUAGAUAUCACGCAGAACUCCGAUUGCGAAGGCAGCAUACCGGCGCGCAACUGACGCUCAGGCACGAAAGCGUGGGUAUCGAACAGGAUUAGAUACCCCGGUAG
rnacentral:rRNA from 1 species